AGCGAACGCUGGCGGCAGGCUUAACGCAUGCAAGUCGAGCGGGCGUAGCAAUACGUCAGCGGCAGACGGGUGAGUAACGCGUGGGAACGUACCUUUUGGUUCGGAACAACCCAGGGAAACUUGGGCUAAUACCGGAUAAGCCCUUACGGGGAAAGAUUUAUCGCCGAAAGAUCGGCCCGCGUCUGAUUAGCUAGUUGGUGAGGUAAUGGCUCACCAAGGCGACGAUCAGUAGCUGGUCUGAGAGGAUGAUCAGCCACAUUGGGACUGAGACACGGCCCAAACUCCUACGGGAGGCAGCAGUGGGGAAUAUUGGACAAUGGGCGCAAGCCUGAUCCAGCCAUGCCGCGUGAGUGAUGAAGGCCCUAGGGUUGUAAAGCUCUUUUGUGCGGGAAGAUAAUGACGGUACCGCAAGAAUAAGCACCGGCUAACUACGUGCCAGCAGCCGCCGUAAUAC
rnacentral:rRNA from 1 species